GUAGCCGUUGUCCAUAAAUUACGGUUAAAACAGGAAGUGAAUGUGAACUUCCAUGUUGCGCUAACCUUUGCUUUAACCUUUCUUGCUGUCUAAGAAAACUAUGACAGACAUUUUCUAUAGCUUUCAGCGGGUAUUCAUUUUCCUAGAGUAUUUCUUGUUGUGUAGGCUUAGAAGUCUCUUGUUUCUUCCUGCUUCGCUGAGCUUUCCACAGAUUUUUCAAUGGUAUUCAGAAACAAAAACUCCAAAGGAACCAGAUUCUUAAGGUAUUAUAUUCCUUACCCUCUAGAGAAUCUGUUUCCUUUGGGGUUUUCGUAUCUGCAACCUCACCCGAAUCUUGUUCGUUCGGAGUUUUUUUCUCAAUCUCAACAGAAUCUUGCUCCAAAACGAAAUACCCGAGGCUACACAAAAAGAAAUCAGACGGGAAGGAGUUUGCAGAGAAUUUCAAUGGGGUUCCAGUGGGAAUGGAAGAUCAAAGGGAUUCGAGGAGAGCAGCAACAUUACGAAGAUUAUUUGCAGGGAAUGAAAUAAAGAUGCAGAGAUGAGCCCAGGGCACUAGCAAGAAAUCCCCAACAGAAGAGAUGGUGCUGAAAGGAGUCCAAAGAAUUCACGGAGGAGGUUAUCCAUUAUGGUUGCGGGAGAGUCAUUGUGAUUGGGGGAGAGUUUUGUAUGCCUCCACUUUUGCAUGCAAGACUCUAAGUGUUACUAAUAGGUCCAUUCGGUGCAUUUCACGCAGUUUUUGCAUUCCAAGUGACACAUUCUUUCCCAUCGAUAUCUCCCAAUCUUUGCAUCAUCGGUGCAUUAUUCAUUAUCUUUACUAUCUUUAUCUUGAUCUUGACCUUGAUCUUUAUCGGUGCAUAUUGCCCAGCACAUAUGGUGGCAUCCUUAUUUGCAGCCCUCUAUAAAGUUUCUAUUGCAAAAAAGUUUCUAAAGCCUUAUUACCAUACCCAUAUUGCAACCGUGCCAUUCGAUGACUCGCAUCCAUUCUACUUCUAAUUGAAUUUGGAUGAAGUAACUAAUCCUUUCCAACAGGUCUAGUUCAUGCAUGAAAAUUCCUUGCUUGACCCUAGAAGUAGGAUUCCACAGAUGAAGUUGGACCUCUUGCCGCCGGAAGACCUAAGCAUUCAACCGAUGGAUCUUUCGAUUCCACGAUAAAUUGUAUAUUCUUUUUUAUUCAAAAGCAAGCCAUUUGUCUUGAAUUGUACUUGUGUUUGUUUGUAAAAUCUUGGAAAGUUGAGUUCGUUGAUUGCAUGUUUCAAGCAAACCAAUUUUGUAAUUUGGUUUUGUGAGCAGCCUGCACAGGAUAACUCGUUAUAUCAAUGCCAACGAACUCACAUUUUGUUA